UACGGAGGGUGCAAACGUUGCUCGGAAUUAUUGGGCGUAAAGCGCACGUAGGCGGCUUGUUAAGUCGGGUGUGAAAGCCCUGGGCUCAACCCAGGAAGUGCAUUCGAAACUGGCGAGCUUGAGUACGGAAGAGGGUCUCGGAAUUCCCGGUGUAGAGGUGAAAUUCGUAGAUAUCGGGAGGAACACCAGUGGCGAAGGCGGAGACCUGGGCCGAUACUGACGCUGAGGUGCGAAAGCGUGGGGAGCAAACAGG
rnacentral:rRNA from 1 species